rnacentral:sRNA from 1 species
GAUUCACCGCGGUCACCGCCUACCAGAACCAUCGGAUCACGCAGCUCAAGAUUGCCAGCAAUCCCUUCGCCAAAGGCUUCCGGGACUGUGACCCUGAGGACUGGUGAGUGUCCUCCCCCCGAGAGAGUGAGCGCCGGGCGCCUGGCGCAGGCGCCGCCCUGAUCCGCCUCCCGCCCGCAGGCCCCGGAACCACCGGCCCGGCGCGCUGCCGCUCAUGAGCGCCUUCGCGCGCUCGCGGAACCCCGUGGCUUCCCCGACGCAGCCCAGCGGCACGGAGAAAGGUAGGGCCGGGGUCGUGGGAUCCGGGUCCCGGCUCUGUGCGCUCUCUACCCCGGGCCGGCGGCCUCGCCCGACCUCGCCUGCGCCCCCGGGGCGCUCCAGGCUUUCGCGCCGGUUGCACAACGGCCGCGGCGGCGGGCAAGCGCGCACUCGCCCGCCUGGCCCGACGGUUGCGCCCCGCCCGCCGCCGCCGCCCGCAGAGGGGCGCGGGCCCCGGGGAGGGCUCGGGGCGCCGGCGACUUGGGGUCUCGGGCACGCUGGCACCGACUGGUCGGGGAACACCGAGGGCGGCCAAGCGCCUUCUCCCCGCCAGGGCCUCGCGUG